UCUCCCGCGUGCACGCGCACACACAGACAGGCAGAUAAAGACGAAAGCGAUCGAACAGAGCUGUUGUCAGCGCUGAUAUGUGACUUUAUCAAUAAAAUGAACGAGGACUAACUUGAAAUUUCUAUAAAAUGGUAUUUUUUUAAGUAGUUAAGCUCUCGCGCAACACUGUUGACAGCCGCGCAAACUCAGAAGACUGAUUAAAAGGAGUGUUUUGUAUCCUGAGUGACGAUCAUGGAAACACAUGGAGAUAUGGAGCUGAACUGAAGAGCAUUCCCUACAACCAGCGCAAAAACAACCUUGACUUUGAACCAGAUGAGUGUCAGCCAGUGGAGCUGGAUGACGGCAGCAUCGUGAUUAAUGUGCGCAACAAUAAAAACUACCACUGCCGCUGUCGUAUGGUCGUACGCAGUCUGGAUGGAGGAGAGUCUCUGCCGGUGGAGCAGCUGGUGUUUGAUCACACACUGGAGGAUCCUGCGGUCGCAGCUGGAGCUUUAGAGAAGGAAGGAGUGCUUUACUUCACCAACCCAGCCAACACUAACAGCAGUGAGCAUGAUGAUAUCAGUGUUUCUGAGUCCUGGUUGUGGAGUACCACAGGACUGCACCUUAUGGAGCUUUCUCUUUUAACACACCUUACUAUUUUUCUAGAUUGCUAACACACAAUCUCAAAACUACACACCAGCUUGUGCAAACUUCAAACUUCCAAGGCACAGACAAACAUUUUAGUCCAAAAAAAAUGUUUUUAUUUUUUUUUUUUUUUUUUUUUUUUUCCAGACACAAACAGAGAUAAUACACAGACUACUUUCCUGUCUAGAGAACACUAGUGAGAUUAAUUUCAAAGACUGUUACAAAAACAUUCUUUUGGGAAACGGGAAGCAUUUUGCAAGUCGAUGUCUGUUACAGUAUGCAGCAUAAAUAGAGGGGUAAUCACCUGUGCUUCUGUUUAUAUCAUCCUGGGAUUCUGAUUGGUGUGUCAUCAGUUUUGCUGCUUAAUGUUCACACGUGGAUUAAUGUGUGCUAUUUGUGUUCAUUUUGUGAUUUCUUGAGGUAGUUAUAUUGUGUGUUUGUGUUUUCUAAAUGAGAACAUGGUUAAACCUGUGCAAAAUGAUGCUGUUCUUCUGUAUGGUUUUGCAGAAAACACUGAGCAAAUUGGAGCAUGUGUGAAAACAGGUGAAAUGUGUUCAAAGUUUUGAGAAACGUGUCUUUGUUUUGAGAACUGUAUGAAUGGUUUGGGAAAUUGGGCCAAAUGAGUCAGUUACAGUAUAGUGUUUAACAAUCGAGAAAAACUGUAUUAGGGAGACCUCCAAAAUGUUUAUUUUAGAAUAAUUCAAAUUCUAUUUCAGGAUUUCUGUGAACUCUGCAAUGACGUUUUCCUCCAAUAAUUAAAACUGUAAAACUUAAACUAUAUUAUAUAAACAUACUCCGUUCAGUGAAGAAUAACAAAUGUGUUGGAGGGACCUUUUUCCGUUUUUACCAAAAAAUGAAAUCACUCUUUUCCAAUGAAUAAAAUUAAAAUAAAAACAUAAUAUGUAUUCAUAAAUAUCAUGAAAAUAUUUGUACAAACAUUAGAAAAAACAAUUAAAUAGUGGCUUCUGCUAGGAAAAAAAUACAUGAAAAUAAAAUAUUUAUAAAAACAUGAAUGAUAUAUAUACAUUUAUACGUAUCAUGAAAAGGUUUGUCUAAACAAUAGGAAAAAUAAAUAAAUAAAUAAUGACCUCUGCUAGGAAAAAAGACAUGAAAAUUGCAAUUAGAUGAAAUUGCAUUUUCUGACUAUGGCCAGUAGAUGGUUGCAGGACUCUAUGGAUUGACAGAUCUCCAAUGUUAAAACAAA